rnacentral:rRNA from 1 species
AGGGGAUUAUUGGACAUUGGGCGCAAGCCUGAUCCAGCCAUCCCGCGUGAGUGAUGAAUGCCCUAGGGUUGUAAAGCUCUUUCACCGGUGAAGAUAAUUACGGUAACCGGAGAAGAAGCCCCGGCUAACUUCGUGCCAGCAGCCGCGGUAAUACGAAGGGUGCUAGCGUUGUUCGGAUUUACUGGGCGUAAAGCGCACGUAGGCGGACUUUUAAGUCAGGGGUGAAAUCCCGGGGCUCAACCCCGGAACUGCCUUUGAUACUGGAAGUCUUGAGUAUGGUAGAGGUGGGUGGAAUUCCGAGGGUAGAGGUGAAAUUCGUAGGUAUUCGGAGGGACACCAGUGGCGAAGGCGGCUCACUGGACCAUUACUGGCGCUGAAGUGCGAAAGCGUGGGGGGCAGACAGG